GAGUUGCUUCAGCAUCCUUCAUCAAAACUCCUACUCCUUCACUUCCAAAUAUCAAUUCCCAAGCAGCAAAUUUGAUAAAAUGAUCAAGAGCCCAUUGGUUUUCUCAAGGAUUUCGCUCUAAAGGAGGCUGUUUGCAGAAUUGGAGCAAGAAAUUUUCACUUUCAGAGUUGAUUUGAUUUGAAGAGUUUAAGGUAUGAAUGCAACAAUGUAAUAUAGCUCUUUAUACGUAAGGCUUACGCCUUACGACUCAAGGCGAACGCCUUACUGAGGCUCUCUCGAAAACGCCUCGACUA
rnacentral:lncRNA from 1 species